AGAAUGAGCAAAAGUUGCAGCACAGCGUGUCACCAGAGAGGAAAAGAAUAUCCUUGCUGUGCCAAGAAAGAAAAGACCAUGGAUCUACUAGUUGCAGAUUUCAGCAGUAAUGCCAAGGGGGCAAGAAGUGACCAGCAGAACAAUUAGGCCAUGGCAACAGAAGCCAACUACAACCCAUGUUCCAAUCUAUGACCUCCCUCUCCUGCUGGUACAAGGAUAUGUAUUCCUUAGAGCAAAGGAUGCAAUGUCAAGCAAGUUGUGAUACCUCAACUAUCUACAAUUUAACACCAAGGAAAGAACACUGUUUGGAGAAAUGAGAAAGAUUAUCAUCAGUGUCUUUCAGAAGUCAUCAAAAGAAGAAAAGGAGAAAAGAGAGGAGAAAGCAGAAAGAUCUGGAGUCUGGGAAGUUCAAGAGCAUGGCACCAACAUCUGGCAAGGGCUUUCAUUCUGCAUCAUCUCAUGGAGGAAAAUAAAAAGGAGGCUGGAUGCUCCUGUGAAGUACGUCUUUUAUCUACUUGCUAUCUUUGCAAUUCCUUCAUGCUACAAUGAGAGAUAGAGUUUAAACCUGAAAACAUUCUUGGAAAAGGAAUCUUCAUUAAUUCAAAUAUACCACAAGGUUCUGCCACUGUGGCCAUCACCUGGGAUUGGAGAAAGGCAAAUGGAACAGACCAACUCAGAAUUACAGUCCUCAUUUAUUUCAUCAGAGGUUGGCCUGUACUUACAUUAGCCCUUUCUGGCUAGAGCUUCAUGUCUCACCCACUGUCUGUUCACUUCUGACCUGAAACAAUGGGACUGCAGAAGAGAGAAGGAAAAUAUCUGGUGGUCAGGCUAACUCUGUGUACCCCAUGAUGAAGAUGUUUUCCAUAGGAGUUCAUUGUCACAGAUUCACCACCAUCACUACUCUAAGUAUUUUUCUUCUUGAGAAAGAGAAGGAGAGGGAAAGCAAGGAAGAGGAAGAGAAAGAGAAAUGGAUAAAAACAUGGUCAAGUAGAAGAGUCUGUGAUUUCAGGUAAAUCCAGAUUUGGAGCUUAAAUGACUCAAAUGCUUUGCCUACAUUGAUCCUACAUUCAGGCUGCUUACAUAUCUCUUGGCUUCUCUGAGAACCAGAUUGUCACCACUUAAAGUGUCUUCCAGAGUCCUCACGAGUAUCAGAGAAGGCAUAAUCUGUACACGUGGCUUCAUUUAAAAUGAAAAUAUCAAGCAGUGUCAUUUUCACAAGUAUCCCCACACUGUCUGAGGCUGAAAAGAAGAGUGUAGCUAUGCACACUGCAGUGAGAAGAAAAUUUCAGCUCAAUUGGAGGAUGUAAAGAUUGAAAUACCACUGCUCCUAGUUCUGAUGCAAAAUUGAAAAGAGUGCACUGGGUCUUCAAAUGGCAUAUUGACAAGGAGAAAGAGGAAAGGAUGCCCCAGGACAGCCUGGGGGUCAAGGCUGGGCUCAGGCAUGCCUGGACAAGCCAUGCAAGUUGUCUCCGGACUUGAACCACGUAUCAGAGGAGCUAUUUGAGGAGCCACAUCAGCAUACCUGCUUCUGUGGGCCCCCAGGCUGUGGUGCUCAGCCCUUGCACUAUGAAACAUUUUUUUUUUCCAGAAGCCAAAGCUUUGAGCAUCUCCUCCCAUGUAGAGAGUGUAUAUGUUUACGUCCAUGUCUUUCGCCAUGUGAACGCAUGCAACCACCACCUCAAAUAUCAUAAAUCCUCUCUCUCCCCCUUUCUGUCUGCCUGUUUAUCUACAAUCUGUCUAUUUAAAUUCUUUUUAAACAAGAAGGGAAUAUCUUUAUGCCUGUUUGUAGGGAUAUUCUACAUCCAUCUGUUAUUUACAUCAUUCGUUUUCCUGAGGUGUCUCCAACAAAUCCUGGCUGGAUGCACUGUAUGUGUUAUUAAUAAAACAGCUGUAAAAAUAUUAA
rnacentral:lncRNA from 1 species